AUGCUUAAAGAGAGAGAGCGAGAGACGGGACAAAAGGGUUAUAUUGAAAUAUGCACCAAUAAAAUUUGUGGCACAAAGCACGAAGUCAUCAUUCAAAUGCUGCAAGAGAACGGUGAUCGGCUUCAUACUCAUCCUCAUCCUCGCACCAGGAUAAUAUGUGAAUCUAACAGCCUCCAUGUCAGACACGGACUUCAGGUCACAGAGUUUAGGCUCUGUGAGUUCAAGAAAACACUUCAACAAUGCCGUAGCAAAUGGCUGUUACAUUAUCAGACCCCAAGGAGGCUUUUCUGUGUAAACCUGCUGACCCCGCGCAGGCACGACAUGCCCAUCUGACUGAAAAAAACCCCCGGAGGGCCUGGAUGUGGAGGCCCAAAUCUCGCUUUCUCUCACCUUCCUAAAACACUUCCAGUUGCUGGCUCUCCUCUCUCUGCCGUGGCUCUGACAUCGGUGUUGAAUCUCCUGACUUUGUCUUGAUUGUAUUAAAUCUGCAAAACACAAAUUAAAAUCAAUGUAAAAGAAAUACUUCAGCUUUCUGUGGCUUCUUUGUUUUCUCAGCUUACAAGGAUGAGUAAAGGCAGGUUAACGGGGACAGUGGGCCGAAAGCCAUGGGGGAAGGGCUUUUUUCAUGCAGGCUAUAGCAAUACUAUCCAUUUCAAAUUUCCUGCUUCAUAAUCAUCAUCUCCUUUGAGGGUAUUUAAAGAAGCAUUGUAAUACAGAACAUGUUUGGAUUUGAGAACAUGUGUCAAGACAAAUAUUUUAGAUGGUUAGAAGCAUUAUUCAACAAAAGUUGCAACCAAUUUCAACCAAGUUUAAGAUUUGAAUAAGUUUAUUUUAUUUAUUUAUUUUAAUUUUAUUAAUGAUUAACUAAAUGAAACAUUUUUACAAUAAUUUAUUUGAAUAUAUGCAGAAAGAAUAUGUAAGAAUUUGCAAUUACAAAAGAAAAUUGUCAAUUUACAAUAGUUAUCAAUAGCUUAUUUUCUAAAUGUAAUCAUGCUGAUGGACCACAUCCACAGAGGCUUUAAAAUGCAUUCAGACAUUUAAAAACUGAUGAAUGUCUUUCUGUUUUGCAAAACAUUUCACAAAAAGUUUGUUAGGUUGCUUGGACUCUUUCAUCCCUCAAUGUUCAGUAUACCUAAGCAAUUAUGAUUUUUAAGACAGCAUAUUUAUUUAAGCGAUAAUGAGGAUAAUGGGCUGUUUUGCGUUUGUGCUGACUCGAGUUUUCAAUCUUUGUUUUAGUUUAAUGUGUUCUGUUUGUUUGUGGUCAAUUCCAGGGCACUUUUGUUUUCUUUCAGCAGGGGUAAUAAACCCAUAAUGCUGUCGGCCACAUUGAUUUAGUUUUAAUAUCCUCCGCUUCUCAUUUUUCCUUGAUGAUGCUUUGAUCCUCAGCAACUGGUUUGUUUUGUGAAUACUGAAGAGCCCUGCGUAUGUUAGCAGGAAUCUACAGCACUCUGUAUCUAUUUCUAAUUUUUUAUCGCUUUUAUUAGCCACUUUAAUAGCAAGGAUAUUUUCAGUGUGUUGCUAUAGAAACUAUAUAACAGUUAUCUAUAUAACAGUAAUCUGUGCAAUUUUUCAACUGGGUUUUUUUAAGCAUAUUUGUGAGUGGAAGAAUAUACUUUAUGUCAGUUUAGAGGAAAACGGUGGUCAACUAGUUUUUAAAAGUCUCAGAUCUCUAUAAACAAAGCUUGUCUGUCUGUAAAAGUUUCAGUACAACUUUAACUGUUUUUUCCCCCUUUUCUCUUCUGCAGUACAUAACAAAUCAUCAAAGCCGGGAUUAAAAUUUCGUGAAGGAGCAGCUUUGACUCCUGGAAGACUUAAGCGUAUUAGCUUUAAAACCAAGAUGGGAGUUUCAAGUGAUGUAUGGCAGACUUCAAAGAUGUUUUAAUCUGUCAGUGGGCAUGCUCUUGCACAGGCUAUUUAUAUUAGGACACAGUGUUUCUUCUGCCUGCAAUCAAUGGCUGCCUGCUUCUUCGGCUAGACCCAGCCUUAUGUUGAUCUUAACCUGUUAUUAAACAGCUGCACUUCCUCUAGAUUGUUUCCUCUGGUUUCUUUUAGAGUCGUCUUUAGAGGCACGAUGUGUACUGAUUAUGAAUACUGACUUGUCAUGUAAGUUUGAUAAAGAUUUUAUGAUUUAAUGCUCACAACUGCACUUCUAUUCAUGCUCCCGAAAUGUAGUUGGACACUUAAGUCACACUUAAAAAAUGUAAAUUUUAUUUGCAUAAUAUCAGUAUAUCAAACCAAGUGUCAUUUAUUUUACAGAAAAACAGCACAAACACUUUUUGAGCAAAACAUUUCAGAAAAAGAGUUUUGUUGGGUUGUUUGGACACUUUCUGUUUAGUGUAACAUAAGUAACGUUAGUGUAACAUGUUUAUUGUUUAUUGGAUGAAUUACAGCUGUGUUUACUCUGAUUGGACACAUGUAGUUGAUAUGAUGUCUAACAGGUUCGGCAGUAUCUUGUGGUGUGACAUGCUAAAAUUUAUCUAAAGAUAUUUUAAAGCUAUUUGUUUUUCCACAUAUGCUAUGUGUUUUGUAUAGCCUUAUUAAUUGAAAGACUACAAACACUAUGAGAAUGAAAAAUGAUAUGAUUAGUAAGCCAUGGUAACUAAUGUUUUUACAUUAAAUCAUCAACUUUUUUAUAAGUUAUAUGAAGUUCAACUUUUUAAGUCGGUUUAAUGUAAUUGAAGUUGAAAUGACUUGUUCAACCAAGUUCAUUAUUCAAAGAAAUGUAAGGCAUUAACUAAACUUAAGUUUUAAAAUUUAAAAAUGGGGUUUUGUUGCACAGCAGAACAAUUUAAAAUAAUUAACUAUCGAAGGAAAUAUGUGUUUAAAAAGUUGUGAAAUUAAAAUAAAUGGUGACCAUAAGACUUGAAAAACAUUUUCCCAAAUGUUUCCCAAAAACAUUUAUUUAAACCUGAGACUGAGCCUGUGUAAAUAUCCACACCUGUGAAAUCUUCAUACAUCCACUAAAAUGAGUUGGUAUUAACUGAAAUAAUAUGCAAUAACUUAACUAGCAGAAUUUAUUAUGUACACCAAAAAAUAAUUUCUGAGGACAGUUUUUUAGGUUUAUUUCUUGCAGCAAAUUUGAACAUUCCUGCAAAUAUACAAUCUGUCUGAUACAUGUGUAAAUUUGUUAAACUGACAAGAAAAUGCUAAUUUCAGGAUUUACUCUUCCAGGCUCAAACAGCAUCCAGAACAGAGUAAAAUCACCCGAAUGCAGGCGCUAUAUCAUCAUGACGACAUGGAAGAUUGAUUUAUCCCAGAAUAACCUGGAUAAAAGGAUAUAAAGACAAAACUUAGAAGAGACUAUUUUUAAUUCAAGUGUGUUAAUUGUAGUACUGUUCUUAUUGUUACUUAAAACUACUGUUCACUAGUGAUAAAGCUUUUAUAUUUUACUUAAAAUCUGUUUUUUAUUACAAAUUUUAUAUGAGCCCAAGUAUUUGAACAUUAAAGGUUUCAUAAUUUAGUGUCACAUACUUUUUGUUUUACUCUUUUUAAAUCCUACAAUACUCUGUUUAUUCACAUAUAAAUUAAAUAUGUAUAUUUAUUAAAUAUGUAUAAAUUCCAGUAUAUGAACUUUUAUACCCCAUUGUAUAAUGAAAAUUUAAGAAUGUAUUUCUUGUUUUGAUCCUGUGCUUUUUCCCUGUUUUUCUUUCUCCUCGUCACUUUGUCGGCUGUGUCUUUUUAUGGAUUGGCAAACACUGUUCAUAUUAAGCAAACUGUUUCUAGAUGUGCGCACACACACACACAUGAUUGAAUUUACCCUUUUCUAAACACGUUUCUGUUGGGAAUUUUAAAAUAUUGCCAUGUGCAAACCCUACAGGUACUCUGAAAGGAGAGCAAUGUUCUCUGAGAACAUGGCCAUGCCUGUGGUGAGGGUUUUUUUCCACUUUGAGAUUAUUCAUCUGUUUGUUUUGAGCUGUUCAUUUGUCAUCAGCAAAGACAAACCAUCUCAAUAUUGAAACGUUUCUCAUUUAAGCACUAGAGUAAUAUACUGCUAAAUCAGUGUGAAAAGCACACCGUGAUUCUGCCGCUCUUUUUUACCUGAAAGUGUUACAAACUGUUGGAAGUCACGCCUGCAUGAUUUUUGGAGCUGAAUGUCGCUGUGUGUUUGUCAAAAGUGAAAUGUGAGAGUGUGACUUCAUUCAGGAAGAAUCUGAAUGUGUUUUCUGUGCUUGACUAUAUAGCAGAUAAAAGCUCUUUCCGGUUCGAGAAAUAGGUUCUCUGGAAUUGGAUUCCAAGCCAAGCGACACUUUCCUUUUAAACAAGAAAAUAUGCAGGACAUGCAUUACCAUGUUGAAUUAAGACUGCCAAUUUUGAACAGACUUGGAGCCCUGCCACAUCUACAAGAUGAAUUCAUCACUUUACAGUAAAACACGAGGCUCUGGAUCAGACAUUUGACGUAACACAGCC
ensembl:lncRNA